rnacentral:tRNA from 1 species
UCCCUGGUGAUCCAGUGGUUAAGACUCUGCUCUCCCAAUGCAGGGAGCCCAGGUUCGAUCCCUGGUCAGGGAA